CCUACGGGUGGCAGCAGUGGGGAAUCUUGCGCAAUGGGCGAAAGCCUGACGCAGCCAUGCCGCGUGAAUGAUGAAGGUCUUAGGAUUGUAAAAUUCUUUCACCGGGGACGAUAAUGACGGUACCCGGAGAAGAAGCCCCGGCUAACUUCGUGCCAGCAGCCGCGGUAAUACGAAGGGGGCUAGCGUUGCUCGGAAUUACUGGGCGUAAAGGGCGCGUAGGCGGAUCGUUAAGUCAGAGGUGAAAUCCCAGGGCUCAACCCUGGAACUGCCUUUGAUACUGGCGAUCUUGAGUAUGAGAGAGGUAUGUGGAACUCCGAGUGUAGAGGUGAAAUUCGUAGAUAUUCGGAAGAACACCAGUGGCGAAGGCGACAUACUGGCUCAUUACUGACGCUGAGGCGCGAAAGCGUGGGGAGCAAACAGGAUUAGAUACCCUAGUAGUC
rnacentral:rRNA from 1 species